UACGUAGGGUGCAAGCGUUAAUCGGAAUUACUGGGCGUAAAGUGUGCGCAGGCGGCGCUGCAAGUCGAGUGUGAAAUCCCCGAGCUUAACUUGGGAAUUGCGCUCGAAACUACGGCGCUGGAGUAUGGCAGAGGAAGGUGGAAUUCCACGUGUAGCGGUGAAAUGCGUAGAGAUGUGGAGGAACACCGAUGGCGAAGGCAGCCUUCUGGGCCAAUACUGACGCUCAUGCACGAAAGCGUGGGGAGCAAACAGG
rnacentral:rRNA from 1 species